rnacentral:misc_RNA from 1 species
GUGAAUCAUCGAAUUUUUGAACGCAAAUUGCACUCUCCGGUUUUCCGGGAGAGUAUGCCUGUUUGAGGGUCAGCCUAAAAAAAAUCGACAUUGUUGCUGUUAUUUAAUGGUGACUUUCGUCGGAGAUUGGGUUAUCUUAAACCUUUUUUUUUUUUGUUUUUUGCGACUUCAAAUUUUUUUUCUCGAUUCCAUGAACGUUUCUAUGAUUUUUUUUUUUUAUACUUUUUAUGUUUUUCGAUCUUUUAUUAUACGUGUCCG